AUUCCAGGAAUGUACUACCAAAGUUCUAUCAAUAUUUGAAUGUCCUGGACAUUUAGGGAACAUUCGGUGAACAUCUGAUUAAAUUAUUCGUGGAAUGUUACCAUAAGACAUUCUGUGAACAUACUACCAAUGUUCCUAUAUGUUCAUUUUCAAACUCACGGCGCAUGUAUUUGUGCAUGGUGCUUAGAGAGGGCAUCACGUGACUAAAAACGACCAAUGACCUCACUUCAGACUUCGGUGCUUCGGCCAUCUUGACAUGCAUCUUGGCCUUGGCCACCUUGCCGUGCGUGAUCGUUGUUUGUUUUUAUUUGUGCUUUUUAAGAAUAUUUUUUAAUUCGGAUACUUUUAUAAUAACUUUAAUAGUAUUAUUAAUAUAGUGCAUAAAAUCAGUUGGAGUAGCAGAAGCAAUGUAGAUAAAAAAUCUGCAGGAAUAAUGUUUCAAAGCUUUCCAGAAGAUCCUGCGAAGAAUGCAUGAAGUAUUGAUCAGAUUUGUUAAUAGAGCAGUAUGUUCAAAACAUUUUUUAGAAAAAGAUAUUGACAGAACUUCACUUUCAACCGUUUGAGAGACUGUGCUGUUCCAAUAGCUUAUAUCACACAGAAUCAGCUGAGAGAAGUGGUCUACAAAAAACCAGGAAGGAAAUGGAAUAUGUGGCUAUGAAAGGCAAAAGAAAGGUUUACAAAGCAAAUGUGACACAUUUUUUUAUAGGAAUAUCAGUAAAUUACAUUAAAAAAAUGUAUGAAAAGAUUUUUUGCAAUAAAAAUGUUUAUAUUUA